rfam:Triticum aestivum genome assembly, contig: Triticum_aestivum_CS42_TGACv1_scaffold_592096_7BS
UAAGUACUCCCUCCGUCCAAAAAUACUUGUCGAGUAAAUGAAUGUAUCUAGACAUGUUUUAGUUAUAGAUACAUCAAUUUUUAUUCAUUUCUUCGACAAGUAUUUCUGGACGGAGGGAGUAUGAA